rnacentral:rRNA from 1 species
GACGGAGGGUGCUAGCGUUGUUCGGAAUUACUGGGCGUAAAGGCGCGUAGGCGGCUGCUCAAGUCGGGUGUGAAAGCCCGGGCUCAACCCGGAACGGCACCCGAGACUGGGCGGCUCGAGACCGGGAGAGGUGGUGGAAUACCCAGUGUAGAGGUGAAAUUCGUGAGAUAUUGGGUGGAACACCGGUGGCGAAAGCGGCUCACUGGCCCGGUCUGACGCUGAGGCGCGAAAGCGUGGGAGCAACAGG